rnacentral:lncRNA from 1 species
CUGCACUAAGUCAAGCAGCUGACCACAACCAUCCCCUUCUCCCUAUCUCCUUUACUCAAUAAAUAUGAAGGACUCUAAAAGCUCAGGGCCCUUGUUCACUAGAAGCAAGGAGUCCCCUGACCCCCUUCUUCAAAACAUACUCUUCAGUCUUUGUCUUUAUUCCCGCCUUGGUCCUCCUUUGUUCAGUCCAGCAAGGUCCACAGCAAAGUGCUGCCCGAAAACAGGGUCUUGAGGACAUGAACAAAGAAGGUCUGCUGGAGCAGAGGAAGUGAAAUUGACCAGAUGAACAGGGACCCUGGGAUGAAUCUGCUGGCAGUGGAUAUAAGCCUUUAUACCCAAGAGAAACUCAGCUGGACACCAGUAAC